rfam:Oryza sativa Japonica Group DNA, chromosome 1, cultivar: Nipponbare, complete sequence.
UUUAAACACAACCAUGAGUUUCUGUGUCCGUCUUAUUUACCGUCUUAUUUAAAUUUUAUUAUGAUUAGUAUUUUUAUUGUUAUUAGAUGAUAAAAAAUAAAUAGUACUUUAUGAAAAAAAUUAAACAAGACGGACGAUCUAAAUUGGACAUGAAAACUUUUGGUUACGCUUAAA